UCAAAUGGGCCACACACGUCACUGUGAA
rnacentral:sRNA from 1 species